rnacentral:misc_RNA from 1 species
AACCAUUCUCACCUGCGGCUAGACCUGCGGAAGGAUCAUUAAUGAUUGACCGAAAGGUCCUAUCUUAACAUCCCUCACCUCUGUGAACCGUUUGACCUCCGGGUCUAACAAACUAUACAAACAUCAGUGUAAUGAACGUCUUGUUAUCUUAACAAAAACAAAACUUUCAACAACGGAUCU